rnacentral:rRNA from 1 species
GACAGAGGGUGCAACCGUUGCUCGGAAUUACUGGGCGUAAAGCGCGUGUAGGCGGGCUAGUAAGUCGGACGUGAAAUCCCUGGGCUCAACCCAGGAACUGCAUCCGAAACUAUUAGCCUUGAGUGGUGGAGAGGGAAGCAGAAUUCCUGGUGUAGAGGUGAAAUUCGUAGAUAUCAGGAGGAACACCGGUGGCGAAGGCGGCUUCCUGGACACUAACUGACGCUGAGACGCGAAAGCGUGGGGAGCAAACAGG